UGUCACUUUUCUCCUGGUUCUUAUCCUUACCACUCUGAUCAUCUGUCUCUGUGACCCUGGCCAAUUUCCGCUAAAUUUCUGUCUUGGAACUUAUUUUUUCUAUUUUGAUGGUCUCAUCUACUUACACAACUUUACUAAUAUUUAUGUGAAAAGGUCCAAAUUUUAUUCAUAUUUAGCUUCUACUUUUCUCCCCAACUCCUAAUUUACAUUUUCUAGAACGCUAAAAUUUUAGAUAUGGAGUUCUCAGAGGUCAUGUAUCCUAAGUCUUCAUUGCCUAGAUAUCUCUACCAAAUGACUCACUGACUUUUUAAAGAGGCAGUGUUUCUAAAACUGACCACCUCAUUUUCUGUCUGCUUCCAACUCCAUUCCCAAAAUUAGUCCUCUUCUUGAAUUAUUUCUGCAACAGUCACCCUGAGGCACACAGCCUCCUUAUUCUCUGUAUUCAAUCAGCUACUAAUCUAGUAGAUUCUAUUGCCACAGACUCUCUCAAUUACAUCCCCUGUUUCUAUUCUAAACUACCACAUUUCUAGUUUAAAUACUACAUACUACCUAGAGUAUUGCAGUGAACUCCUGGACAGACCACCCCCCUCUAGUCUAGUAUUUUCUACUUGGAAUUCUGAAUUAUUUUUGUUCAUUACUACCAAAUUAAUCUUUCUAAAAAGCAGUUUUGACGUGCCACUCUCUGGCCUAAAAACCUUAACUGUCUCUUAUUGAUUACUAAAUUAAUCACAAGUUCGGGACUCAAUUCUAUCUUUCUAGCCUUUAUGCUAAGCCCAUCAUCCAUAACCGUGGUUGGCAAACUGCGGCUCUUUGGUCCCUUGAGUGUGGCUCUUCCACAAAAUACCACAGCCUGGGCAAGUCUAUUUUGAAGAAGUGGUGUUAGAAGUUUUUAAGUUUAAAAAAUUUGACUCUCAAAAGAAAUUUCACUGUUGAUAUUUGGCUCUGUUGACUAAUGAGUUUGCCGAUCACUGACCCAGAAUAUCCUUCCUUCAUCGUUACCUGGCAAACUCCUAAGUUCUUUAAAACUAAUAUUUGAAAUAAAUACAGGUAUCUGAAAUAAA